UUGACAUAUACAGGAAUGUUGUAGAGAUACAGCAGCCGCUUGCGGUCUGUAUACAGGUGCUGCAUGGCUGUCGUCAGCUCGUGCUGUGAAGUGUUGGGUAAGUCCCGCAACGAGCGCAACCCUAUCAUCUGUUGGCCAGCGAUUUAAGGUGGGGACUCAGAUGAGACUGCCGGUGACAAACCGGAGGAAGGUGGGGACGACGUCAAGUCAUCAUGGCCCUUAUGUCCUGGGCUACACACGUGCUACGAUGGCCGGUACAGAGUGAAGCGAAACCGCGAGGUGAAGCAAAACGCAGAAAGCCGGUCUCAGUACGGAUUGGAGUCUGAAACUCGACUUCAUGAAGUUGGAAUCGCUAGUAAUCGCGCAUCAGCAUGGCGCGGUGAAUACGUUCCCGGGCCUU
rnacentral:rRNA from 1 species